UACGGAGGGUGCAAGCGUUAUCCGGAUUCACUGGGUUUAAAGGGUGCGUAGGCGGGUAUGUAAGUCAGUGGUGAAAUCCCCGAGCUUAACUCGGGAACUGCCAUUGAUACUAUAUAUCUUGAAUAUUCUGGAGGUAUGCGGAAUAUGUCAUGUAGCGGUGAAAUGCUUAGAGAUGACAUAGAACACCUAUUGCGAAGGCAGCAUACUACGGAAAGAUUGACGCUGAGGCACGAAAGUGUGGGGAUCAAAACAGG
rnacentral:rRNA from 1 species